GAAGAGAUGGCGGAAUUGGCAGACGCUUAUUUAGCCGAGGUACUAUUAACGAGGACAACGUUCUUAGGGCAUGUGGAAGCUAAGUAGAUGGAAAACGAGAUGUACAUAGGAAGUACAAUGUAGGUUCAAAUCCUGCUCUCUUCA
rnacentral:tRNA from 1 species